rnacentral:rRNA from 1 species
UAUUUAUUAUUUUAUUAAAAAUAAUUAUGUGAAUCUUUGUUUUAUUAUUAUGUAGAAUUAAUAAUUAUAAUUAUAGUUUAUAGUAUAGUGAUAGAAUAUUGAAAUAAUUUGAAAAAUUUUUAUUAAAAAAGAAAAUUUAAUUUAUUGUACCUUGUGUAUCAGGGUUUAUUAAAUAAAAAAUAAUUAGUUUAUUUUUCUCGAAAGUAAAAGAGUUAAUAUAUUAUUAUAGGUAAUGUUAUAAAAUUAUUAUAAAUAAUAUAUUAGAAAUGAAAUGUUAUUCGUUUUUAUUAAUAUCUAGUUAUUUAAGAAAUAAAUUUAAUUUAAUAAUUUUAAACUUAUUUUUUUUAUUACAAUAAUUAUUUAAAUUUAAAAUUAUACUAUUUUAUGGGAUAAGCUAUAAAAUAAAAUUCUAAAAAUAAUUUAAUUAAUUUUUAAAAUAUAUGCUUAUAAUUAGCAAUUAUAAAAAAGUAUGUUAUAAUAUAUUUUAUUAUUUAUAUUAUUUAUUAAUAUUUUAGAUAUUUAUUAAAUAAUUUAGUUUAAUUUUUUAACUUAAACUAUAAUGAUUAAAUUAGUAUAAGUUAUUUAUAAAAAUAUAUUUAUUUAUUUACGAAAAGUUUUUAUAAAGAAUUCGGCAAAAAUAAGUGUUCACCUGUUUAACAAAAACAUGUCUUUUAGAAAUUUAUUUAAAGUUUAACCUGCCCACUGAAAAAUUUAAAUGGCCGCAGUAUUUUAACUGUGCAAAGGUAGCAUAAUAAUUAGUCUUUUAAUUGGAGGCUUGUAUGAAUGGUUGGAUGAGGCACUAUCUGUUUCAUAAAAAUUUAAUUUAGAAUUUUAUUUUUUAGUUAAAAAGCUAAAAUUUUUUUUAAAGACGAGAAGACCCUAUAGAUCUUUAUUAUUUUUUUAUUUUAUUUAUUAAGAUUAAUUUUUAUAUAAUAUUAAAAAUAAUUUUAUUGGGGUGAUAUUAAAAUUUAUAAAACUUUUAAUAUAAAUAAAUCAUAAAUUAGUGAAUUAUUGAUCCAGUAUUAUUGAUUAAAAAUUUAAGUUACCUUAGGGAUAACAGCGUAAUUUUUUUGGAGAGUUCUUAUCGAUAAAAAAUAUUGCGACCUCGAUGUUGGAUUAAGAUAUAAUAUUGGGCGUAGCAGUUCAAAUUUUAAGUCUGUUCGACUUUUAAAUUCUUACAUGAUCUGAGUUCAAACCGGCGUAAGCCAGGUUGGUUUCUAUCUUAAAAUUAUUGUUAUAUUUUAGUACGAAAGGACCAAAUAUAAAAUUUAUUAAAUUUAUAUUAUGAAUUUUAUUAAUUUAUUA